AUUCAGCUGACGAGUCCCAAACAGGACGAAACACGAGUCCUGGAU
rnacentral:hammerhead_ribozyme from 1 species